UCAAACUUGGUCAUUUAGAGGAAGUAAAAGUCGUAACAAGGUUUCCGUAGGUGAACCUGCGGAAGGAUCAUUAACGAGUUAGGGUCUCUUUGGCCCGACCUCCCAACCCUUUGUUUACUCAACCUUUUGUUGCUUCGGCGGGCCCGCCUGUAUUGGCCGCCGGAGGACCGUCGUAAGACGUCCUCUGGCCCGCGCCCGUCGACAGCCAACUAUACCUAAACUCCGAAAAACCAUGCCUAUGUCUAAGUUCUUUAUCAAAUAAAGCAAAACUUUCAACAACGGAUCUCUUGGUUCUGGCAUCGAUGAAGAACGCAGC
rnacentral:misc_RNA from 1 species